AUGAACGCUGGCGGCGUGCCUAAUACAUGCAAGUCGAGCGAACAGACGAGGAGCUUGCUCCUCUGACGUUAGCGGCGGACGGGUGAGUAACACGUGGAUAACCUACCUAUAAGACUGGGAUAACUUCGGGAAACCGGAGCUAAUACCGGAUAAUAUAUUGAACCGCAUGGUUCAAUAGUGAAAGACGGUUUUGCUGUCACUUAUAGAUGGAUCCGCGCCGCAUUAGCUAGUUGGUAAGGUAACGGCUUACCAAGGCAACGAUGCGUAGCCGACCUGAGAGGGUGAUCGGCCACACUGGAACUGAGACACGGUCCAGACUCCUACGGGAGGCAGCAGUAGGGAAUCUUCCGCAAUGGGCGAAAGCCUGACGGAGCAACGCCGCGUGAGUGAUGAAGGUCUUCGGAUCGUAAAACUCUGUUAUGAGGGAAGAACAAAUGUGUAAGUAACUAUGCACGUCUGGACGGUACCUAAUCAGAAAGCCACGGCUAACUACGG
rnacentral:rRNA from 1 species